GACGAACGCUGGCGGCGUGCUUAACACAUGCAAGUCGAACGGAAAGGCCCUGCUUUUUUGGGGUGCUCGAGUGGCGAACGGGUGAGUAACACGUGAGUAACCUGCCCUUGACUUUUGGAUAACUUCAGGAAACUGGGGCUAAUACCGGAUAGGAGCUCCUGCUGCAUGGUGGGGGUUGGAAAGUUUCGGCGGUUGGGGAUGGACUCGCGGCCUAUCAGCUUGUUGGUGGGGGAGUGGCUUACCAAGGCUUUGACGGGUAGCCGGCCUGAGAGGGUGAACGGCCACAUUGGGACUGAGAUAAGGCCCAGACUCCUACGGGAGGGAGCAGUGGGGAAUAUUGCACAAUGGGCGGAAGCCUGAUGCAGCAACGCCGCGUGCGGGAGGACGGCCUUCGGGUGGUAAACCGCUUUCGCCUGUGACGAAGCGUGAGUGACGGUAAUGGGUAAAGAAGCACCGGCUAACUACGU
rnacentral:rRNA from 1 species